AUACGGAGGGUGCGAGCGUUAAUCGGAAUUACUGGGCGUAAAGCGCACGCAGGCGGUCUGUUAAGCUAGAUGUGAAAGCCCCGCGCUCAACGUGGGAGGGUCAUUUAGAACUGGCAGACUAGAGUCUUGGAGGAGGGAGUGGAACUUCCGAGGUGUAGCGGUAGAAAUGCGUAGAGAUCGUGGAGGAACAUACAAGUGGGACGAAGGCAACCUCCCGUGGACCAAAGACUGACGCUCAUGUGACGAAAGUGGUGGGUAGCGAACAGGAUUAGACUACCCGUGGUAGUCCACACCGUAAACGCUGUCUACUAGCUGUUUGUGGUAUUUAAUCCGUGAGUAG
rnacentral:rRNA from 1 species